rnacentral:lncRNA from 1 species
AAUUUUUAUUUGUCAACAACUUACAAUGCCAGGGUCAGGAUGUGUUGGACGGUUACAUUUAUGAAGGUUACUGGGCAGUCUCCCUGCAAGUCGCGUCCAUGCGUAAUAAAAAUCUAACGAUAAAAAUCCAGCGAAAACCUCAUGCUGUAGAAUAAUCGGAGCACUGGACCCCUUUGAACCUAUCCGACAGCAGGCCGAUAGUCUUCGACACGGGAUAUCGCCCGCACACGCUAUUUUAUGCCUGGACUAUGGAGUUCUCCUACCGCAGGUCAAAUAGCUAUCCUUGGCGACAAGAUCGGAUGGCAGAGUAAUCGUCCCGGGAUACAUUACGCGCAGCAAGGAGCGUAGACGACGCAAGGGGGAGGCUGGAUGGUGCCUUAUUAGCGCUUUUGGGGCGUGAGGAGGGUUUUCAUAGGCUUUCAUCGCCCCUUCCAUAGCUUCCAAACACUGACAUCUUGCAUGAAAAGGCAUGAAGCAACCUUUGCUGUGUGUGCGACUCUCCCCUGGCAGUGAUUACCCUAGUCAUAAAUGGGUGGCAUUACCAUGUCACAGUGGACCCCAAUAAAGGACGGAUAUUGCGAUUCAUUCAGACGGAACACGUACAUGUGAUGGGCGUAAUAACACCCAAUGCUACUGAUGACCAGCUGUACCACGUACGUACGUAUUUACGUACGUACGAAUAAACGCCACCUCCCCAGGCAGGCAGGCAACCCC